UUACACCUCAUUGAUCGGAAGGAAUCCCUUCUGAUCGAUGAGGACCGGAAGGGAUUCCUUCCAAUUGAUGAGGUGUAA
rnacentral:miRNA from 1 species